rnacentral:lncRNA from 1 species
GUGGCUCGGUGGUCGAGUGCCCCUGAGUUCAAUCCCCAGCACCAAAAAAAAAAAAAGAAUGCACUUUCCUGCGUGGCUUCUGCAACAGCAUACACAGAUGUCUGAGUUUGGGGUCAUACUCAAAAGAGCCAGGGGACACUAGUCAUGGAAAAUUGCCUCCGCCCCACAGAAUAUCAUGCCUAUUAUUGCUUCUCCCACUGACCAACAGGAGCCAUGUCUAUUUCAGAGGCAGUUUUCUGAAACACGCCUGAUAAACCACUGAAGCCGACGGUUGGCCUGUUUUGAGACCUGGCGACAGAAACGUGAGCAGACUAUCCCCAUUCCCUUCCCCGUGGCUGCUGUUCUUUCGAUUUUAUUCAGAUCCCUGAGGAACAUGAGGGGGAGAAAAGCAAACUGAGAUCAGGGUGUUUUUUGCACCUGCUCC